rfam:Rattus norvegicus chromosome 1, whole genome shotgun sequence.
AGAGGUAAGGUUAAUUUGGUUGUAACAUCUGCCACUCCAUUGAUUACCUAGGUUGAUUUGAUUAAUCUUGGGGACUAAUCAGGAGGUCCCUUCCUCCCUAUCUACUCUAUAUGUGCCUGUUCAGAGCUAUAUACUGGUUUGGAGAGGAUGGCUUUCCCUCAUAGAGGAAUAUAUGAAUAGCUGCGCUUUCUCCAAACAUCCUGUAAAGACCAAUGAGACCUCUAGUCCAUGCCAUUUCUCACUCAACCCUUCACAUUG